GAGUAUUUUCGGGGCAAGGUUAGAUUCCUUACCGAUGGUAAAAGUCCAUGAGCUAAUAAAACAGCAUGAUUCAGUGAAAUUCUGAAACCGACGGUACAGUCCGGAUGAGAGAAAAUACCC
rnacentral:ncRNA from 2 species